GAUGAAGAACGCAGCGAAAUGCGAUAAGUAGUGUGAAUUGCAGAAUUCCGUGAAUCAUCGAGUCUUUGAACGCACAUUGCGCCCUCUGGUAUUCCGGGGGGCAUGCCUGUCCGAGCGUCAUUGCUGCCCUCAAGCACGGCUUGUGUGUUGGGCCUCCGUCCUCCUCCCGGGGGACGGGCCCGAAAGGCAGCGGCGGCACCGCGUCCGGUCCUCGAGCGUAUGGGGCUUCGUCACCCGCUCUUGUAGGCCCGGCCGGCGCUUGCCGACACAUCAAUCUUUUUUCCAGGUUGACCUCGGAUCAGGUAGGGAUACCCGCUGAACUUAAGCAUAUCAAUAAGCGGAGGA
rnacentral:misc_RNA from 1 species